GCUGCCUUUGGCAGCACACAUACUAAAUUUGGAACGAUACAGAGAAGAUUAGCAUGGCCCCUGUGCAAGGAUGACAUGCAAAUUCAUGAAGUGUUCCAUAUUUUU
rnacentral:snRNA from 1 species